rnacentral:rRNA from 1 species
GUAGCUGGCUGAGUUAGUCCCUUGUUAAAUCCACCGAAUUAAUCGUUGGAUUGCGGGGGAUACUGCUCGGCUAGGGGACGAGAGAGGCAGGACGGUAUUUCUGGGGUAGGGGUGAAAUCCUAUAAUCCCAGGAGGACCACCAGUGGCGAAGGCUGUCUGCUAGAACGCGCCCGACGGUGAGGGAUGAAAGCUGGGGGAGCGAACCGGAUUAGAUACCCGGGUAGUCCCAGCUGUAAACGAUGCAGACUAGGUGUUUGGACGGCCACGUGCCGUUCUAGUGCCGCA